rnacentral:rRNA from 1 species
UGGGGAAUUUUGGACAAUGGGCGCAAGCCUGAUCCAGCAAUGCCGCGUGCAGGAUGAAGGCCUUCGGGUUGUAAACUGCUUUUGUCAGGGAAGAAACGAGUUUCUCUAAUACAGAGACUUAAUGACGGUACCUGAAGAAUAAGCACCGGCUAACUACGUGCCAGCAGCCGCGGUAAUACGUAGGGUGCAAGCGUUAAUCGGAAUUACUGGGCGUAAGGCGUGCGCAGGCGGUUAUAUAAGACAGAUGUGAAAUCCCCGGGCUCAACCUGGGAACUGCAUUUGUGACUGUAUAGCUAGAGUACGGCAGAGGGGGAUGGAAUUCCGCGUGUAGCAGUGAAAUGCGUAGAUAUGCGGAGGAACACCGAUGGCGAAGGCAAUCCCCUGGGCCUGUACUGACGCUCAUGCACGAAAGCGUGGGGAGCAAACA